ensembl:lncRNA
GAAUUUCCCUCCAUCAUCUCACCAGUACAUUUCUAGAUUAGAAACYAGAGAGUCCUGAUUACUAACUUCAACCACAGCACUUGAUUAGAUUCUGGUUGGGGGAAGGAAUAACUUUCAAGAAUAGUGUUGAAAUGAUUGGGAAUUUUAACUUAGCCCAUUUAUUAGAUAAUCCUAUUUUAUCAAUGCUAAAUUUCCUGAAUUGUUAUUAUUUAGGAGAAUGCCUUUGUUUUAGGAGAUAUGCACUCAAGUAUUGGGGAAUGAAGCAGCCUCAUUACUGUGUACAUAAGCAGUGAUAAAACAAGAGUGUAAAUUCUUGACAGUGAAUGUGGAUGAAGGAUAUAGGGAUGUUCAUAGAACUAUUUUCGAAACAUUCGAAAAAAUAUGUUUCAAGUUUUUAAAAAUAAGUUGGCAGGGGAAAGAAACCCCUCUGUAUAUUUUGUGUAGAAUUCAUUCAAAUUCAGUAAGAGAAAGAGGCAAGACCGGAUGAGAAGGUAUUGCUGUAGUUAUGUUGUGCCCUGGAAUUUAAUGACAGGAAAGAUGAAGAAUCGCAUCCUCCAGUCUCUCCCUCCAGUGAAGUAAAUCCCAGGGUUGAAAGCACAAGGUUCCCAUAAUCAACUCCUUCGCGGGACAAAAAUCGAAGGUAGUGGGUGUGGUCGUGCAGAUUUCAAGUUAGGUUAGGCUAGAAGAGACGGUCUCGAGUUCGCGCUAGCCUAGAGACUACUCUGUGCCCCGCCCCCGACUGGAAGAGCCCAUAACUGCAGCCUAGGAUGGGGAAAGAGCGUCCUGAAUGUAAUUAAUCCUUCCCCUCGCUAGAUGUCUCCUAAGUCUUCGGCAUUUUUAUCCAUAUCAACCUCCAUAUUACUGAAUCUUUACUUAAAACUGAUGCUUACUUGAGACAAAAGUUGAGUUCCGCAAAGAUGUUUCUUUCCAUCCCUACCCACCGUCCGCUGCGUGCGCUGGUCCGCGAAGGGCCGGAAGCGGAAGUGUUGGCCCGAGAGAGCCUCCGCCUGAGGCUGCAGGACCAACUCUUCGCYUUUGCCAUGGAGGCGUCUGGGUCUCAGGAGCCGAUCCUGGAUGCUAAAUCGCAGGUCACCAACCAGGUGAGUGAAUGGCCCUCCUGCCUUGUUCUCAGCCGGCCUUUGCUGGUCAAGGGCUGGGGGCCGCUCCCGGCCGGCCUGCAGCUGGAGAACGGCGUCUCAGCGUGCGGUGCCCUGUCCUUGCGUUUCAUAACCUGUGUCCUCAAGCCGGUGUUCUCCAGCCCGCAACCCUGCAUUGCUCUUUCCCCGGUGCGCGCGAGGUGAUGCCGCUGCCAUUGCAAUUUAAGCUUCUCCAGCCAGCGCUAGUGCAAAGUGUACAAAGUCUUGUUCUUCUUUAAUUAGGCGACCUGUAUUSGAAGGUAGGAAUACACUAUUUUAGAAUGUGAUGGGCACAUAAGAAAUUACUAGAAUUUAAAAAGGUAGCACCGAUGACGUUUCUUGCACUUGAGAAAGGUUAUUUUGAAGAUGGAGUAUAACUUUUUAACCUUUCAGAGUGUGUGUGUGAUGUAUGUUGAAAAACAAUAGUUUUKUCAAGAACAUCUUAGUUCCGUUUCUGUUUCAAGUGUUUGCAGCUAAUAAACUAUUUUUGGACAAAUUACUUACA